rnacentral:Y_RNA from 1 species
GGCUGGUCCAGUGGUAGUGGGUUAUCAGAACUUAUUAACAUUAGUGUCACUAAAGUUGGUAUACAACCCCCAACUGCUAAAUUUGACUGGCUUUAA